GCCAUAACGGUGCUGCUAGAAAGAAACUGCGGAUUCUUAGGAGGGGUGCUUCCAUCCCGAAACAUACUGUCUGGAGGAAUGGACCGACUCUGUUUAAAUGUGUUGUGACGUUUUAAUGUGUUUUAAUCCGUUUAAUGUGUUUAAUCCGUUUAAUGUGUUUUAACACGUUUUAAUGUGUUGUGACAGGAAAAGAGCCGGCUAACGGUAUUACGGAAGUACUAGUUGGCACAGAGGCUCGGUGCAAUUACCGUUCUGCACCGUAAAACGGGUUUAGGAAGUUCCUAGGAGAUACUAGCGGUGCCAGAACCGAGAAAGUGACGACACAGACAACUUAUGGACUCCGCGUACGGGAAACGUUCCGUUGGGCGCUAAGAACGGUGCAGCAACUGAAAAACCGCUCAGUGGGCGCUACUGGCAAAAGCGUUGCUGCAAAACCGCCAGCUCCGCAUUAGAAGCAGAGCCGCCAGACAGAACCCGGGACCUGAAACCACCGAAGCGGAGACCGAGCUUGGCUCCCCAGCUCCUGAGAGAAUGCAAGUCAAGGAGUACGAAGCUGUGAUACUCAAAAUUAGUAGAAGAAAAAUGAAUAACAUUUAAAUAAGAUAAAAUUUUAAAAUAAUAAAUUCUAAAAUUCAAAUAAAAAGGCAAAGCAAA
rnacentral:lncRNA from 1 species